rnacentral:tRNA from 1 species
UGUUCUCUGCUUUUCAGUGUAAGUGAAAUGCUAAUAGCUUUUCCCUUCCCUUAGUACACU